rnacentral:lncRNA from 1 species
UGAGAGAUAGGUGCGAGCGAUUUUGAGAGCAGAGGGAGAUUUCAUUGAUGAGCGACUUUGAGGUAGAAAGUACGCGAGAGAGAGGUUUGAGAGAUAGGUGCGAGCGAUUUUGAGAGCAGAGGGAGAUUUCGUUGGAGAGAGUUUUGAGGUAGAGAGAUUCUGGGUUGAGACGUGGGAAGAGGACGAUGGGAUUCUGGGU